ACAUUGCUGACCAGUCCUAAACAGGACGAAACAUUUGUCCAGUGC
rfam:Echinostoma caproni strain Egypt genome assembly, scaffold: ECPE_scaffold0012244